GCCUCCCAAAGUACUGGGAUUACAGGUGUGAGCCACUGUGCCCGGCCCCCAACUGCACAUGUUCUAAUGAGGAAUCUUUUCUGGAUGGUGGAUAAUAUGGUUUGGUAGUAUUUUUCCGUCCAAAUCUCAUGUUGAAAUGUGACUUCCAAUGUUGGAGGGGAGCCUAGUGGGAGGUGUUAGUGUCAUGGGGGCAAAUCCCUCAUGAAUGGCUUGGUGCUGUCCUAGCAGUAGUGAGUGAAUACUCACUCUAUUAGCUCACACCAGAUCUGGUUGUUUAAGAGAGCCUGGCACCUCCUCGCUUUUCUCUCUCUUGCUCCCCCUCUCACCAGGUGACAUUCUGGCUCCCUUUCACCUUCUGCCAUGAGUAAAAGCUUCCUGAGGCCCAACAGAAGCUGAAAAGAUGCUAGCACCAUGCUUGUACAGCCUGCAGAACCGAAGAAGAAGAGUAGAAGGAAUUCUCCCCACUUACAGACAGACCCUGCUUAUUUCUGUGAACCAACCAGUGAUCUCUUGCUGUGGCUCAGAAGAAACAAGAGGUAUAGAUAUCACCUUUUGUCAGAACUGAGUUAUGAAUGGCCCUCGCCAUACCUACACUUUCGGAAUGAGCUCCUCUCUGCCCUGAAUACAAGAGACCCUAAGAGUUAGGCUGGAAUAUCAUUGCCCCAUUCAGCCUGAAGAAGUUACAGAAGAUGGAUCUUCUUCCCUCUACAACUGUUAGGAUUAAGGGUUCCCUUGUAAAAGGGAAGAGGAAAUAUGUCAGAGGCGUUUAAACCACAGUGACUCCAUCUUGAAUAGGGGCUGUGUAAAAUAAGGAUAAGGCCUACUAAGCUGCAUUCCCAGUAGGUUAGGCAUUCUAAGUCACAGGAUGAGAUAGGAGGUCAGCACAAGAUACAGGUUACAAAGCCCUUGCCCAUAAAACAGCGUGCAGGAAAGAAGCCGGCCAAAUCCCACCAAAACCAAGAUGGUGACGAAAGCAACCUCUGGUCAUUCUCACUGUUCAUUAUGAUACAAUGAUAAAGGCAAGGGGCAGAGAAAUUCUAGGAAGACAGGGACAGGUCCCUGGCGAAGCCCCACCCCUAAGCCAAAAAGCCUGAAACCCUGGCCCAAAGUGAGAACUUAUAUCCCUCUUUUCGCCUAUGGAGUAGCCAUUCUUUUAUUCCUUUACUUUCUAAAUAAACUUGCUUUCACCUUAUGGAUUUCCCUCGAAUUCUUUCUUGCACAAGAUCCAAGAACCCUCUCUUGGAGAUUGGAUCAGGACCCCUUUCUGGUAACAUCUGUCCACAUCACUAUCAGCAUUUUGAUCAAAACCAUUCAACAAGUCUCUAGGAAGUUCCAAACUUUCCCUCAUCUUUCUGUCUUCUGAACCCUCCACACUCUUCCAACCUCUGCCCAUUACCCAGUUCCAAAGUUGCUUCCACAUUUCUGGUAUCUUUAUAGCAAUGCCCACUUCCCAGUACCAAUUUUCUGUAUUAGUCCAUUCUCGCACUGCUAUAAAUACCUGAGACUGGGUAAUUUAUAAAGAAAAGAAGUUCAAUUGGCUCAUGGUUUCUGCAGGCUGUACAGGAAGCAUGGCUGGGGAGGCCUCAGGAAACUUAAAAUCGUGGCAGAAGGUGAAGGGGAAGCAGGUAUGUCUUCACAUGGCCAGAGCAGGAGGAAGUGGGGGGAGGUGCUGCACAAUUUUAAACCACUAAAUCUUGUGAUAAUUCACUUACAAGAACUGUACCAAAGGAGAAAUCCUCUCCCAUGAUGCAUUCAUCUCCCACCAGGCCCCACUUCCAACAUUGGGGAUUACAAUUUGACAUGAGAUUUGGGUAGAGACACAGACCCAAAUCCUAUUAUAUCCCAUGUCAUUUAUGCAUUCAUCCGUUGAUGGAUAAUUGGAUGUUUUCACUUUUCCUGCUAUCAUGAAUAAUGUUGAUAUAAACAUUUAUGUGCAAUUUUUGUGUGGACAUAUGUUUUUAUUUCUCUAGGAGUGCAGUUGCUGGGUCAUAUGGUAAUUGUAUGUCUAACUUUUUGAGAAACUGCCAAAUUGUUUUCCACAAUUGCAUCAUUUUACUUUCUCACUAGCAAUUUAUGACGGUUCCAGUUUCCACAUCUUUGCCAACACUUGCUAUAUUCUGGGUUUUUUUUCUUAAUUAUAGCCAUCUUAGUGUGUGUUAGGUGUUAUGUCAUUAUGGUUUUGAAUUAUUUUUCCCUAAUGACUAACAACGUUGAACUUCUUUUCAUGUGCUUGUUGGUCAUUUGUAUAUCUCCUUUGAGUAAAUGUCUAUUCAAGUCUUUUGCCCAUUUUAAAAUCAGUUUGUCUUUUUUGUUGUUAAGUUGUACAGCUUCUUUACAUAAUAUGUAUACUAGAACCUUAUCAGAUAUAUGAUUUGCAAAUAUUUUCUCUCAUUCUGUAGGUUGUCUUAACUUCCUUGAUGUAUCUUUGUGCUUAAUAGUUUUAAUUUUGGGCCGGGCAUAGUGGCUUACACCUGAAUCUCAGCACUUUGGGAGGCCGAGGUGGACAGAUCACCUGAUGUCAGUAAUUCGAGACAAGCCUGGCCAACAUGGCAAAACCCGGUCUCUACUAAAAAUACAAAAAUUAGCUGGGUGUGGUGGCGGGCAC
rnacentral:lncRNA from 1 species